rnacentral:rRNA from 1 species
GGGUAGAAGCCUACCAAGKCAAUGAUGCGUAGCCGAGUUGAGAGACUGGCCGGCCACAUUGGGACUGAGACACUGCCCAAACUCCUACGGGAGGCUGCAGUAGGGAAUUUUCCGCAAUGCACGAAAGUGUGACGGAGCGACGCCGCGUGUGUGAUGAAGGCUUUCGGGUCGUAAAGCACUGUUGUAAGGGAAGAAUAACUGAAUUCAGAGAAAGUUUUCAGCUUGACGGUACCUUACCAGAAAGGGAUGGCUAAAUACGUGCCAGCAGCCGCGGUAAUACGUAUGUCCCGAGCGUUAUCCGGAUUUAUUGGGCGUAAAGCGAGCGCAGACGGUUUAUUAAGUCUGAUGUGAAAUCCCGAGGCCCAACCUCGGAACUGCAUUGGAAACUGAUUUACUUGAGUGCGAUAGAGGCAAGUGGAACUCCAUGUGUAGCGGUGAAAUGCGUAGAUAUGUGGAAGAACACCAGUGGCGAAAGCGGCUUGCUAGAUCGUAACUGACGUUGAGGCUCGAAAGUAUGKGUCUUAAAACUUCUCUCAGUUCGGACUGGAGUCUGCAACUCGACUCCACGAAGGCGGAAUCGCUAGUAAUCGCGAAUCAGCAUGUCGCGGUGAAUACGUUCCCGGGUCUUGUACACAC